rnacentral:rRNA from 1 species
AUUGAACGCUGGCGGCAGGCCUAACACAUGCAAGUCGAACGAGUGGCGGAUGGGUGAGGAAUGUCCUGGAAACUGCCUGCUGGAGGGGGAUAACUACUGGAAACGGUAGCCAAUACUGCAUAUCAUCGGAUGUGCUCAGAUUGGAUUAGCUUGUUGGUGGGGUAAAGGCCCACCUAGGAGGCGAUCCCUAGCUGGUCUGAGAGGAUGACCGGCGGCGUUGUGACUGGGAGACGGUCCAGACGACUACGAGAGGCAGCGGUGGGGGAGAUUGCGGAGUAGGCGCGAACCUGAUGCAGCGAAGGGACGUGUAUGAAAGAGGCCUUCGGGUUGUAAAGUACUUUCAGCGGGAAGACGUUACCGGCAGAAGAAGCACCGGCUAACUCCGUGCCAGCAGCCGCGGUAAUUC